rnacentral:rRNA from 1 species
GAUGAACGCUGGCGGCGUGCUUAACACAUGCAAGUCGAACGAAGCACCUCUCCCGAAGAUUGACACAGCUUGCUGUAGAUUGAUUCAUUUGAGGUGACUGAGUGGCGGACGGGUGAGUAACGCGUGGGUAACCUGCCUCAUAGAGGGGGACAACAGUUGGAUACGACUGCUAAUACCGCAUAGUAAGAAGAAUUCGCAUGUUUUCUUCUUGAAAGAUUUAUCGCUAUGAGAUGGACCCGCGUCUGAUUAGCUAGUUGGUAAGGUAACGGCUUACCAAGGCGACGAUCAGUAGCCGGCUUGAGAGAGUGAACGGCCACAUUGGGACUGAGACACGGCCCAAACUCCUACGGGAGGCAGCAGUGGGGAAUAUUGCACAAUGGGGGAAACCCUGAUGCAGCGACGCCGCGUGAGUGAAGAAGUAUUUCGGUAUGUAAAGCUCUAUCAGCAGGGAAGAUAAUGACGGUACCUGACUAAGAAGCCCCGGCUAACUACGUG